rnacentral:rRNA from 1 species
UACAGAGGGUGCGAGCGUUGUUCGGAAUUAUUGGGCGUAAAGGGCGCGUAGGCGGUGCGGUAAGUCACCUGUGAAAUCUCCUGGCUCAACUGGGAGCUUGCAGGCGAAACUGCCGUGCUGGAGUAUGGCAGAGGGGGGGUGGAAUUCCACGUGUAGCAGUGAAAUGCGUAGAGAUGUGGAGGAACACCGAUGGCGAAGGCAGCCCCCUGGGCCAAUACUGACGCUCAUGCACGAAAGCGUGGGGAGCAAACAGG